GAUAUGCUUGCCAUUCUUGCCUUCAGACAACUCAUUGAUAAACAUGUUGAACAGAAUAGUACAAAGAACAAAAUCUUUGAGAACUUCCUUAAGGUUGAUACACUAGUUUUGAGGUUUUAUCAGCCAAUUUAGUAUAAACUGAAUUUAGUUCACAUCUCUUUAUCUUAUGCAAUGGAUAUUUUGAGAGAUUUUGUCUAAUUAUCUUGUUGAAAUACUGAUGCCCCAAGGUUAAAGGACUCCUUUGAUCUACAGACUUUCUGGACUUCGAAACCAUGCUUCCUUCACUGCUGCCUCAUCCUAAAACUUUCCUCAGAGCCUGGAGUCCUCAAAGAGCUUGCGUUCUAAUGGGGGAAGACAAUACAUAAAAGGAAACUGAAAAGGAGAAGUGGGAAUAAGGUCCUUGAAGCUGGGCUGGGGAAAAUAAAAAUAUGUAGAAGGAAAAUAUUCUAAUAGGUAGACAGAACAGAAUGCCCUCUUUGUGGGUGCUGAGUGGACAGCGCUCUAUAAGCAGAAAUGGCACUUAAUCCAUUCAUUACAAAAUACUCGGAAUCAAAGAACAAGAUGCAAGAAUUGCCUGGCAGAGAGCAUGAAAUCGGGAGGACUGUCAGAGGGAAGAGACUCUUGGAGAGGGAGGAGCAAGAACAAUGGAAAGAAGCCUCCUUUUUGCACCUCUUGUGUCCUGUUGGUUUUGUGCAAAUGAACAUCACAUAUUUGAUCUCCAAAG